rnacentral:rRNA from 1 species
UACGGGGGGGGCAAGCGUUGUUCGGAAUUACUGGGCGUAAAGGGCUCGUAGGCGGCCAACUAAGUCAGACGUGAAAUCCCUCGGCUUAACCGGGGAACUGCAUCUGAUACUGGAUGGCUUGAGAUUGGGAGAGGGAUGCGGAAUUCCAGGUGUAGCGGUGAAAAUGCGUAGAUAUCUGGAGGAACACCGGUGGCGAAGGCGGCAUCCUGGACCAACACUGACGCUGAGGAGCGAAAAGCCAGGGGGAGCAAAACGGG